CGUAGGGUGCGAGCGUUAAUCGGAAUUACUGGGCGUAAAGUGUGCGCAGGCGGCCGAGCAAGUCGAGUGUGAAAGCCCCCGAGCUUAACUUGGGAACUGCGCUCGAAACUACUUGGCUAGAGUGUGGCAGAGGGAGGUGGAAUUCCACGUGUAGCGGUGAAAUGCGUAGAGAUGUGGAGGACACCGAUGGCGAAGGCAGCCUCCUGGGCCAACACUGACGCUCAUGCACGAAAGCGUGGGGAGCAAACAGGAUUAGAUACCCUGGUAGUCCACGCCCUAAACGAUGAUGACUAGUUGUUGGAGGAGUUAAAUCCUUUAGUAACGCAGCUAACGCGUGAAGUCAUCCGCCUGGGGAGUACGGUCGCAAGAUUA
rnacentral:rRNA from 1 species